rnacentral:rRNA from 1 species
AUUGAACGCUGGCGGCAGGCUUAACACAUGCAAGUCGAGCGGAGCGAGGGUGCUUGCACCUUAGCUUAGCGGCGGACGGGUGAGUAAUGCUUAGGAAUCUGCCUAUUAGUGGGGGACAACAUUCCGAAAGGAAUGCUAAUACCGCAUACGCCCUACGGGGGAAAGCAGGGGAUCUUCGGACCUUGCGCUAAUAGAUGAGCCUAAGUCGGAUUAGCUAGUUGGUGGGGUAAAGGCCUACCAAGGCGACGAUCUGUAGCGGGUCUGAGAGGAUGAUCCGCCACACUGGGACUGGGACACAGCCCAGACUCCUACGGGAGGCAGCAGUGGGGAAUAUUGGACAAUGGGCGGAAGCCUGAUCCAGCCAUGCCGCGUGUGUGAAGAAGACCUUUUGGUUGUAAAGCACUUUAAGCGAGGAGGAGGCUACUAGUAUUAAUACUACUGGAUAGUGGACGUUACUCGCAGAAUAAGCACCGGCUAACUCUGUGCCAGCCGCCGCCGUAAAAC